UAUAGGAGGUGUGUUCUAAUGCGUAAGCUCGUGUGUCGUUUGGUGUUUAACUUUUUUCUGAAGUGCUAGUUAGAUAGGCGCAAUCUGUCUGUGGAUUUCGUUAUUAGUUUUACGCCAGACUAAACGCUAGUGGAACAUAAGUUAAUCUUGUGUGCAGUUUUUUAAAUGCAAUGCUAAUUCGUUAGUGUACUUUUACAUCACAAUAACAAAGCAACAAGCGUACGUCUCUUUUAACUCCCUUGGUGUUUGGUAAUUAUCAGCGUAUUCUCUUGGGACAAGUACUGAAAAUUAUUUUGCUUUGCACAACUGUUGAAUGUGUGAUAUGCUAGCCCCAUAUGAUAAAAACAGCGUGCCGAGAACCGCUGAACAGGCCCGAGGCUUCAAGUAGCUGCUAGCCGUCCCGAUCUACGGCAAGCGUCAAGGCUGUUGGCAUCAAACCAGGUCACGAUCGUUCUUUCAUAAGGAAACAGUAUACAUACAACAACAGUCGAGCGUUGUAUCGAGCCGUGGUCUGUUUUAUAAUGUAGUUUUGUCCUUAUCACGUGGAACUCAUAAGUGAAUCUAAUGUAGGCGUUGUUCAGGCCAGUGGUCAAUCAUGGAUCUAAGCAGUGACACGCUUCAGUCUCAGGAGGAGGAGACUGUUUACUUUGAAUCUGGCGCAGAAGAAGAAAACACAUUUGUUGUUGUUACAACUAUGCAAGAUAAAAAUUUUCUGGUCAACAAUUUGUUAUAUUUUCAG